rnacentral:rRNA from 1 species
GUGCCAGCCGCCGCGGUAAUACGGAGGGUGCAAGCGUUAAUCGGAAUUACUGGGCGUAAAGCGCGCGUAGGUGGUUUGUUAAGUUGGAUGUGAAAGCCCCGGGCUCAACCUGGGAACUGCAUCCAAAACUGGCAAGCUAGAGUACGGUAGAGGGUGGUGAAUUUCCUGUGUAGCGGUGAAAUGCGUAGAUAUAGGAAGGAACACCAGUGGCGAAGGCGACCACCUGGACUGAUACUGACACUGAGGUGCGAAAGCGUGGGGAGCAAACAGGAUUAGAAACCCGAGUAGUCC